AUGAUGUUGAUUUUAUAGAUGAUAGUGCAGAUGUAAGAGAAAAGAGCAGGAAGAAUUCAGGUGUGAGAAGGAGGAGGUUCGCCGUAUAUUCAGAUUCAGAUUUUAUGCCUUCUGGAUCAUCUGAUUAUGAAUUUACAGUCUCAGAUGAAGAGAGAGAGCAGGUGAGAGAAGCCAGUGAGUUGUACGGAGAACUAAGGACUAGUUUGAGGAGUUCAUCGUCUAUACAGAAAUUUCAGGAGAAUGGGGAUUUAUGUCAACAAGGCAAACCCAUUGCAAGAAAAGGUAAGGAGAAGGUAAAGGAAGUAAUAGCUGAGGUGGGAAAGCAGGUGUGUGGAAUUUGCCUCUCAGAAGAGGAUAAAAGAAGAUUGCGGGGAACACUGAAUUGCUGUAGUCACUAUUUCUGCUUCACUUGCAUUAUGGAAUGGUCAAAAGUAGAGUCCCGUUGCCCUUUGUGCAAGCAGAGGUUUAAGACAAUAACUAAGAAUGGAAGAGUCGGUGUGGGAGUUGAUCUAAGAAAUGUGGUGAUACAAGUCCCCAAGCGGGAUCAGGUC
rnacentral:misc_RNA from 1 species